CGUGUUACCUCAGUACCUAGGCU
rnacentral:miRNA from 15 species